rnacentral:rRNA from 1 species
CAGCACCUCAAGUGGUCAGGAUGAUUAUUGGGCCUAAAGCAUCCGUAGCCUGCUUUGUUAGUUUUCGGUUAAAUCCAUAUGCUCAACGUAUGGGCUGCCGGGAAUACUGCAGCGCUAGGGAGUGGGAGAGGUAGACGGUACUCGAUAGGAAGGGGUAAAAUCCUUUGAUCUAUUGAUGACCACCUGUGGCGAAGGCGGUCUACCAGAACACGUUCGACGGUGAGGGAUGAAAGCUGGGGGAGCAAACCGGAUUAGAUACCCGAGUAGUCC